AUGGCACGGCCGCAGAUUCAUGGGAUGAGUAGCUCCGGAUGUCUUAAAGCACAUGCGAAGAUGCCAUGGUCAGGUUUGCUACUGCAGUGGUCAAGAUGUUUGGACCGCAGAGAGAACCAACUGUCCCAGACACCGAAAGGCUCAUGGCACUCUCGGAAGCAAGAGGGUGGCCAGGUAUGCUCGGAUCCCUUGAUUGCAUGCACCGAAAAUGGAAAAACUGCCUAUAUGUUAAACGAGGGCAAUAUCAAGGUCAUGUUAAGAAGCCUACCAUCAUUCUUAAAGCAGAUGCAUCACAAGACCUCUGAAUUUGGCAGUUUUUUUGGCAUGCUCGGGUCUCACAAUGAUAUCAAUGUGUUGCAGCAGUCUCCUUUGUUUGCUAGGUUGACAGUGUGA
rnacentral:rRNA from 1 species